rnacentral:rRNA from 1 species
UACGUAGGGCGCAAGCGUUGUCCGGAAUUAUUGGGCGUAAAGAGCUCGUAGGCGGCUUGUCACGUCGAUUGUGAAAGCCCGAGGCUUAACCUCGGGUCUGCAGUCGAUACGGGGCUAGCUAGAGUGUGGUAGGGGGAGAUCGAAUUCCUGGUGUAGCGGUGAAAUGCGCAGAUAUCAGGAGGAACACCGGUGGCGAAGGCGGAUCUCUGGGCCAUUACUGACGCUGAGGAGCGAAAGCGUGGGUAGCAAACAGG